rnacentral:rRNA from 1 species
GUAUUCCGCUCCAUAGCGUAUAUUAAAGUUGCUGCAGUUAAAAAGCUCGUAGUUGGAUUUCGGAACCAAUAUGUUGGUUGUGCCUCGGUACGUACUGGCAUUGUUGGUUUCUCCCUUCUGACGAACUAUGAUGUCAUUAAUUUGGUGUCAUGGGGAAUCAGGACUGUUACCUUGAAAAAAUUAGAGUGUUUAAAGCAGGCUCACGCUUGAAUACAUUAGCAUGGAAUAAUGAAAUAGGACGUUUGAUUCUAUUUUGUUGGUUUCUAGGAUUGACGUAAUGAUUAAUAGGGAUAGUUGGGGGCAUUAGUAUUCAAUUGUCAGAGGUGAAAUUCUUGGAUUUAUUGAAGACUAACUACUGCGAAAGCAUUUGCCAAGGAUGUUUUCAUUAAUCAAGAACGAAAGUUAGGGGAUCGAAGACGUUCAGAUACCGUCGUAGUCUUAACCAUAAACUAUGCCGACUAGGGAUCGGAUGAUGUUAAUUUUUUAAUGACUCAUUUGGCACCUUACGGGAAACA